AUUGAACGCUGGCGGCAGGCCUAACACAUGCAAGUCGAGCGGAGCGGCGGACGGGGGAGUGAUGCCUAGGAAUCUGCCUGGUCGUGGGGGAUAACGUCCGGAAACGGGAGCUGAUACCGCAUACUAUCAGAUGAGCCUAGGUCGGAUUAGCUGGUUGGUGGGGUAAAGGCCUACCAAGGCGACGAUCCGUAACUGGUCUGAGAGGAUGAUCAGUCACACUGGAACUGAGACACGGUCCAGACUCCGACGGGAGGCAGCAGUGGGGAAUAUUGGACAAUGGGCGAAAGCCUGAUCCAGCCAUGCCGCGUGUGUGAAGAAGGCCUUCGGAUUGUAAAGCACUUUAAGUUGGGAGGCGUUACCAACAGAAGAAGCACCGGCUAACUUCGUGCCAGCAGCCGCGGUAAUAC
rnacentral:rRNA from 1 species